UACGAGGGGGGCGAGCGUUGUUCGGAAUUAUUGGGCGUAAAGGGUGCGUAGGCGGUUUGGUAAGUCUGAUGUGAAAUCUAUGGGCUCAACUCAUAGUCUGCAUCGGAAACUGCCGGGCUUGAGUGUGGGGGAGGUGAGUGGAAUUCCUGGUGUAGCGGUGAAAUGCGUAGAUAUCAGGAGGAACACCGAUGGCGAAGGCAGGUCUCUGGGCCACUACUGACGCUGAGAAGCGAAAGCGUGGGGAGCGAACAGG
rnacentral:rRNA from 1 species